GAUGAACGCUGGCGGCGUGCCUAAUACAUGCAAGUCGAGCGAAGCGGGGACGGGAGAGUAACACGUGGAUAACCUCCUAUAAGACUGGGAUAACUUCGGGAAACCGGAGCUAAACGGGAAACUUAUAGAUGGAUCAGGGAUGCUUUAGCUAGUUGGUAAGGUAACGGCUUACCAGGGCAACGAUCCAUUGCCGACCUGAGAGGGUGUUCGGCCACCCUGGACCUGGUACCCGUGCCAGACUCCUACGUAAGGCAGCAGUAGGUAAUCUUCCGCAAUGGGCGAACGCCUGACGUGGCAACGCCGCGUGAGUGAUGAAGGUCUUCGGAUCUUAAAACUCUGUUAUUAUGGAAGCGGUACCUAAUCCGCCCGCCACGGCUAACUACGUGCCAGCAGCCGCGGUCCUUC
rnacentral:rRNA from 1 species